GGACUUGUCUGGGAAGGCAAUUGGAAAUGAAACCAAAUGGUUGCAGGUCGAGGAGGAAAUUGGUAGCAUAUGCAGAGAAAUAGAGAAAUAUUUGUUGGAGGAGCUAGCUGCAGAAUUAGCUUCGCAUUGAGAGUGUAUAAAAUGGGAUUUGGCUGCUAAGUUUUCCUUCUACUUCCCUCCUCAAGUUACUGGGAAUAGAUAUAGUUUUUUUUCAACAGCAUUUUUGAUCUGAAAGUAUAGGAUGUUGUGUAGAAAAUCUGAAAGACGUGGCACUGUUUAUUCUUAUAUUCAUUUAGACAUGGUGUGCAGUUCUUGA
rnacentral:misc_RNA from 1 species